GGAGAGGUGGCCGAGUGGUCUAAGGCGGUAGACUCGAAAUCUAUUGUACGUUUACGCGUACCGGGGGUUCGAAUCCCUCCCUCUCCGCCA
rnacentral:tRNA from 1 species